UUUUUGGAGGUGAAAGAUCCCCGAAGAGAGACUCUUACUCAAGUCUCGGGAAAUCGCGGACCCCAGACACAGAGAGAUCA
rnacentral:pre_miRNA from 14 species